CGCCAAACAACUUCCUUUUAGUUCCUAUUUCAUACAUUAAUCAUUAUGCGAAUCAACAUAAAUCUUAAUUAUCAUUUGCCAUAUCAACUUUGCACUAUUCUUGGAAUCUCUGAGUUACUUGUAAUUACAAAUUCCUAGAACAACAUUAUACGGCGUAUAAUUUAUAGCAUCGUUCUUAAUUAAACAUCCAUUUCAUAAUUUUGUGGGGCAAACUAAAUAGGAACGAGAAAUGUGUGUGAAUAUGAACGCUGCGUCACGAGCUCUAUGCCUUUAUCAUAAUAAUUAGUUGUUCAAGCUAAGAGUCAUUAGCAUAGUAAACUAUAACUGUAAAAGAUUCAUUGUAGGCGAAAAUAUAAAGUUUAGUUCCUGCUAUGCCUUGCUAUAUUGUAAGAUAACGUAUAGCUUUUAUUUAUUAUAUUUUGAUUUGAACAAAACGCCUGCAGAAUAGACUCAAUCUGAAUUUCAAGAAUAUCAUACAAACACCUUGAAUACUUUCUCAUUCGAAAUCUCUGCGUGUACAUCCUAAGCCAAUGUCGACAAUUGAGCAAUUUUGUUUCAAUCGUCGGUAAACAAAUUGUGAAACAUUCUUUCUCAUAAUUAUAUACAGUAUAUUGCUUAGGUUAUAUUUUAAAAACACUAAUAAAUUAGACUUACCAGUAUAUGUUGAACUGAACUUGGUUUAAACACCUGCGAUUGUUAAGUUGUAUACGAGUGCACGUCACUAGUACGUUUGUGCAAGAACGUGGCUAACUUUGAAC